rnacentral:rRNA from 1 species
GACGAACGCUGGCGGCGUGCUUAACACAUGCAAGUCGAACGGAAAGGCCCCUUUGGGGGUACUCGAGUGGCGAACGGGAGUAACACGUGAGUAACCUGCCCUUGACUUCGGGAUAACUUCAGGAAACUGGGGCUAAUACCGGAUAGGAAUCCUUGCUGCAUGGUGGGGGUUGGAAAGCUUCGGCGGUUUUGGAUGGACUCGCGGCUUAUCAGCUUGUUGGUGGGGUAGUGGCUUACCAAGGCUUUGACGGGUAGCCGGCCUGAGAGGGCGACCGGCCACAUUGGGACUGAGAUACGGCCCAGACUCCUACGGGAGGCAGCAGUGGGGAAUAUUGCACAAUGGGCGGAAGCCUGAUGCAGCAACGCCGCGGGCGGGAUGACGGCCUUCGGGUUGUAAACCGCUUUCAGCAGGGGCGAAGCUUGUGGUGACGGUACCUGCAGAAGAAGCACCGGCUAACUACGUG